CGACCAGUCACUACAACAUCACUACGACCAGUCACUACAACAUCACUACGACCAGUCACUACAACAUCACUACGACCAGUCACUACAACAUCACUACGACCAGUCACCACAACAUCACUACAACAUCACUACGACCAGUCACCACAACAUCACUACGACCAGUCACCACAAGAUCACUACGACCAGUCACCACAAGAUCACUACAACCAGUCACCACAACAUCACUACACCCAGUCACCACAAGAUCACUACGACCAGUCACCACAACAUCACUACACCCAGUCACUACAAGAUCACUGCGACCAGUCACCACAACAUCACUACACCCAGUCAUUACAAGAUCACUACGACCAGUCACAACAACAUCACUUACGACCAGUCACUACAACAUCACUACGACCAGUCACCACAACAUCACUACACCCAGUCACCACAACAUCACUACGACCAGUCACUACAAGAUCACUACGACAUCACUACACCCAGUCAUUACAAGAUCACUACGACCAGUCACCACAACAUCACUUCAACAUCACUACGACCAGUCACCACAACAUCACUACACCCAGUCACCACAACAUCACUACACCCAGUCACUACAAGAUCACUACGACCAGUCACCACAAGAUCACUACGACCAGUCACCACAAGAUCACUACAACCAGUCACCACAACAUCACUACACCCAGUCAUUACAAGAUCACUACGACCAGUCACCACAACAUCACUACACCCAGUCACUACAAGAUCACUGCGACCAGUCACCACAACAUCACUACACCCAGUCAUUACAAGAUCACUACGACCAGUCACUACAACAUCACUACGACCAGUCACCACAACAUCACAACACCCAGUCAUUACAAGAUCACUACGACCAGUCACUACAACAUCACUGCGACCAGUCACUACGACCAGUCACUACAACAUCACUGCGACCAGUCAUAACAACAUCACUGCGACCAGUCAUUACAACAUCACUGCAACCAGUCAUUACAACAUCACUACACCCAGUCAAUACAACAUCACUACACCCAGUCAAUACAACAUCACUACACCCAGUCAAUACAACAUCACCACAACCAGU
ensembl:lncRNA